AUGAUGAAGGAAGUAAUUGCAAGUAGGUUGAGGCAAAAUAGUAGUGGAGGAAGUGCAAGUAGUAAAUCUGAGCUUGAAAAAUACCUUGCCGAAGACUCUGAAGACCCUGACAAAAAAAUUGACAUCCUAGGAUGGUGGAAAGAGAAUUCAUCUAGGUUUCCAAUCUUGGCAAAUAUGGCUCGUGAUAUUCUUGCUAUCCCCAUUACAACUGUGGCUUCCGAGUCUGCCUUUAGCACAAGUGGACGCAUACUUGAUGACUUUAGGACAUCUCUAACUCCAUUUAUGGUGCAAGCUUUAGUUUGUACGCAAGACUGGCUGAGAAGGUCAACAAACCCGGUCGACAUCAAGGAGAACUUGGAAGAAUUAGAAGUGCUAGAAAAAGAGUUGAUUGAAGAAUUUGGUGACAAGGUGAAGGGAAAGAGCAAGUUCAAUGGUGGUGUUGUUGCUUCUUCCACGGCCAAGUCAAACAAGUGUGCAAGUCGACCAACAAAGUGA
rnacentral:rRNA from 1 species